rnacentral:pre_miRNA from 1 species
GAAAUACUCCCUCCGUCCCAAAAUUCUUGUCUUAGAUUUGUCUAAAUACGGAUGUAUCAAGUCAUGUUUUGGUAUUAGAUACAUCCGUCUCUAGGCUAAUCUAAGACAAGAAUUUUGGGACGGAGGGAGUAUAAG